rnacentral:rRNA from 1 species
AGAGUUUGAUCCUGGCUCAGGAUGAACGCUGGCGGCGUGCCUAAUACAUGCAAGUCGAACGGAGUUCUUAAGGAAUGCGACUUCGGUCAAAUGACUUUUGAACUUAGUGGCGGACGGGUGAGUAACGCGUGAGCAACCUGCCUUUCAGAGGGGGAUAACAUUUGGAAACAGAUGCUAAUACCGCAUAAGAUUACAGUACCGCAUGAUACAGUGAUCAAAGGAGCAAUCCGCUGAAAGAUGGGCUCGCGUCCGAUUAGAUAGUUGGUGAGGUAACGGCUCACCAAGUCGACGAUCGGUAGCCGGACUGAGAGGUUGAACGGCCACAUUGGGACUGAGACACGGCCCAGACUCCUACGGGAGGCAGCAGUGGGGAAUAUUGCACAAUGGGCGAAAGCCUGAUGCAGCAACGCCGCGUGAGGGAAGACGGUUUUCGGAUUGUAAACCUCUGUUUUCGGUGACGAAUAAAUGACGGUAACCGAGUAGGAAGCCACGGCUAACUACGUGCCAGCAGCCGCGGUAAUACGUAGGUGGCAAGCGUUAUCCGGAAUUACUGGGUGUAAAGGGAGCGCAGGCGGGAUAGCAAGUCAGCUGUGAAAACUAUGGGCUCAACCCAUAAACUGCAGUUGAAACUGUUAUUCUUGAGUGGAGUAGAGGCAAGCGGAAUUCCGAGUGUAGCGGUGAAAUGCGUAGAUAUUCGGAGGAACACCAGUGGCGAAGGCGGCUUGCUGGGCUCUAACUGACGCUGAGGCUCGAAAGUGUGGGGAGCAAACAGGAUUAGAUACCCUGGUAGUCCACACUGUAAACGAUGAUUGCUAGGUGUGGGGGGUCUGACCCCCUCCGUGCCGGAGUUAACGCAAUAAGCAAUCCACCUGGGGAGUACGGCCGCAAGG